rnacentral:rRNA from 1 species
GGUACACGCUGUGACUAGCAUAUCAAUAAGCGGAGGAAAAGAAACUAACAAGGAUUCCCCUAGUAACGGCGAGUGAAGCGGGAAGAGCUCAAAUUUGAAAUCUUAAAGGGCUUCCCUUUACGAAUUGUAGUUUAAAGAAGUGUUUUCUGUUGAGGUUUUGGUAAAAGUUCUUUGGAAUAGGACAUCAUAGAGGGUGAGAAUCCCGUAUUUGACCUUUACUUUCAACUUUGUGAUACACUUUCAAAGAGUCGGAUUGUUUGGGAAUGCAGUCCAAAAUGGGUGGUAAAUUUCAUCUAAAGCUAAAUAUUGGCGAGAGACCGAUAGCGAACAAGUACCGUGAGGGAAAGAUGAAAAGAACUUUGAAAAGAGAGUUAAACAGUACGUGAAAUUGUCAAAAGGGAAGCGUUUGACACCAGUGUUGUUUUUCUGAAAAUCAAUUAAAGAACUGUUUAUGCUAAGUUGUUUAGACUUUAUCAGCUAACUGUUUAGUUUUGAGCUUUUCUUUAAUGCACUUUUCAGUUAACAAGUCAACAUCAAUUUCUUUUGCUGUAAAAAAGCUUGAGGAAGGUGGCUUGAGAUUCGUCUUAAGUGUUUAUAGCCUCCUGCCUAUGCAGUCGGAGAGAUUGAGGUCUGCAGCGUAGAUCCUUCGGGGCUAAAUGCAUUUGUGCUAAGUUAUAACAUUUUAUAGACAACUUGUUGACUAUGAUUUGUCUUGUAGCUUACUCGCUUAUGUUAUUUUACCUACGCUUAGGAUGUUGACAGCAGUAUAGACUGU